rnacentral:rRNA from 1 species
UACAGAGGGGGCAAGCGUUGUUCGGAAUUACUGGGCGUAAAGGGCGCGUAGGCGGCCUGUUAAGUCGAACGUGAAAUCCCCGGGCUCAACCCGGGAACUGCGUCCGAUACUGGCAGGCUUGAAUCCGGGAGAGGGAUGCGGAAUUCCAGGUGUAGCGGUGAAAUGCGUAGAUAUCUGGAGGAACACCGGUGGCGAAGGCGGCGAU